AACGAACGCUGGCGGCAUGCCUAACACAUGCAAGUCGAACGAGACCUUCGGGUCUAGUGGCGCACGGGUGCGUAACGCGUGGGAACCUGCCCUUAGGUUCGGAAUAACUCCCCGAAAGGGGUGCUAAUACCGGAUAAUGUCUUCGGACCAAAGAUUUAUCGCCUUUGGAUGGGCCCGCGUUGGAUUAGCUAGUUGGUAGGGUAAAAGCCUACCAAGGCGACGAUCCAUAGCUGGUCUGAGAGGAUGAUCAGCCACACUGGGACUGAGACACGGCCCAGACUCCUACGGGAGGCAGCAGUGGGGAAUAUUGGACAAUGGGCGAGAGCCUGAUCAAGCAAUGCCGCGUGAGUGAUGAAGGCAUUAGGGUUGUAAAGCUCUUUUACCCGGGAUGAUAAUGACAGUACCGGGAGAAUAAGCUCCGGCUAACUCCGUG
rnacentral:rRNA from 1 species